AACGCACCAGGCACCUUCAAAGCCAACCAGCACAGGUGGAGAAAAGCUGAUGAUCCUGUGCUCUCCCAGAUGACAAAGAGCAGAGCCAGAGUCGGGAGGCAGAAGGCAAAAGGCCUCAUCUGAGUCAAGCAGGGAUUCUCAACAUAGUGUAUAGUAAAGCAGAAUCAAUCAGUCAGCUAUGUGAAUGUCCAGUGUGCAUGGCAGGAGGAUGGAGACCGGCCCGGGCUGCAAAGGAAGAACAAUGCAUCAGCUCCUGGGCGUGACCUCUUCCCUAUCCAGGAGCUUUUUGGGGUUGGAUUGGUUUACUCGCUCUUCCUGUCUCCCAGCCUGGAACAUCUCAGUGCAAAAAAUUAAUAAUGCAGCCCUAACCAUGUCUUCUCAA